AUUAAAGAAGCUUGAGAGAGAGAUGAAAGAAUCAAUUUGGUAAAAAUAAAAAAGAUAGACAUUUUAGAUUCGAUUCCAACAUCACACAAUGGGCAGGGCAAACGGCCAAAAGAAAAGGCAGGAGUAGUGUAGUAGUAGUAAAAAGACAGCAAAAAAAAAAAUUCUUGGAUUCAGCAAGCAAAGAGAUAAGGCAAUGGGGGUGAGAAAGAAAGAUUGAAAGAAAGAAAGGAGAAGAAAAAGCAAUUGCACCACAUAUCUCCCCUUUUUUCUUCCUUCUCUUUAUCUGGAUUUCCAUCCCACUAAGUUCAGAGGGCAUCAUCUUCUCAGAUUAGUGGAGUUGUGACGAUUGCAAUGGUGGUGUUACUGACAGAAGAUAUGUAGUCAUUGAAUAAAAGAGGAAAUAGCAAAAUGAACUGGAGAUGCUGAAUUUUCAUAGUAGCAAAAGCAUGAUCAGCUACUGCCUCCUAGCCAAUCAACUAGCUGCAGCUGCAGAUGAGGAGGUGAUGAGAUCUGUUCCAAUGGAAAGAGACGACACCACCUCUGAUGUACUAACAAGCGUGUUGUGAAAGCCACAAUGCUCUAAAGUUGUAAGUGGGCGUUUACUCAGGUUUUGGAUGCAGCAUGCAGAGCAUAUUUAGGACCACUUACCACUGACCUGCUAGACCUAACAGUGAAAAGGAAAUUGAUUAAGCCAUCCACAAGAAGCAUUUGAAAACUUGGAGUGAGCUAAUUAAGGAGGUGUCACCAUCAGCAGCCUCAAUUGAUUGCUGCAACCAGCUUAAGAUUUUGGAGUACCAGAAGGAGAGUAACAUGAUGGAAUUAAUGCUAAUCUCUCUCUCUCUGCCUUCAAUUAGGGAGCUAGCUAGCCAGCCAACCAUAGUAAUGGUGCUCUGGUUAAUGGCAACUAUAUAGAUUCAGAGAUUCAGACUAGGACACUGGCUAGGUUUGUAAUUGUGUACCUCAGUACUUGACUACUACUGCCCUAGAUUUUUAUGUUUGCUUGUACAGUAUGCUGGUACAUCUGAAAAUUUUUUUGAAUGACCUCAUCUCUAACAUUU